rnacentral:rRNA from 1 species
UACAGAGACCUCAAGCGUUAUCCGGAAUCAUUGGGCGUAAAGCGUACCGAUAGGUGGUUGUAUAAGUCAGAAGUGAAAUCUCCGAGCUCAACUCGGAAUCUGUCUUUUGAAACUAUACAGCUAGAGGGGCAAAGAGGAAGCUGGAACGAACGGUGUAGUAGUGAAAUGCGUUGAUAUCGUUCGGAACACCGAUAGCGAAGGCAGGCUUCUGGGUGCCACCUGACACUGCUAGGACGAAAGCGUGGGGAGCGAAUGGG